GACGCAUUUACAGACAGACACACACACUAACAAGACGAAUGAAGUAUCACGUGGCAUACUGUGAUUCUAUUGGCUCUCACAGUUCACCGACGUCAAUUGGGUUGAUCGUGUCGGUGUAUGGAUUAGGUGACGUUACAUUGGUCUUUCGUUCACAAGUUUCAAAACAGAUUUUUCAUGUGUGGGAUAGAUUUGGUCUACACUGUUUGAAAACACGGCCACUUGGAUAUGCAAAUACUUUUCAAUAUUCAAAUAAAAAAACAGCUGGUUACCUCUAGGUUUAGGGAUAAUAUCCUUAAUCCUUGCAGGGAUAUUAGUUCUGGCUUGUGACUGCUGCACACGACCAUAGGAUUGUGAUUGCUGCUAGAAUGUCAUUCCUCAAGUUUUGGGCAAAGAAAAGUAAAAAGGAGGAAGUUGACCCCACCGCUGACCCGGAACUAGAAAAACGACGUCUACGUCAUUCGCUGUCCAUCUCCCGCUCUGGUCGGUUCAAACAGAAAAAACGUGAGCGUAGCCAGAUCUCAGACAAACCGGAGCUCUUUGUUCAACCGGCAGAUUCCGGUUCAGAUGUGCAACACGACACACAACCCUCCACCAGACCACACCAACCCUCACCAAAGAAUUAUCGUGACGUCACUACACCCGGGGCUGCUGGGAAUAUACACGUGACGUCAUCCGUGCUUACGUAACAUCAUAUGUGCUUACACGACACACUCCGUGCUCACGUGCCGCCAUCUUUUAGCACGUGACACCAUCCGUCAUCACGUGGCUGGUACAAAUCGUCUUUCAUUAGAAACACGUCUAACAACAACCGUAUUUGUGUUGGGCGCUACACAGGGGUUUUAUGUUCCGUGCAAGACUAGGAGACCAUCAACAAUGAGGCACAUUGAAUUGGUCGUGUAUAUUUAAGGCAAUGUGCUGCGACCUUUAGACAGCUGUACCCGCUAAUCUUUACAUUCAGUUUUAGCAUUCAGGAUCUGCUCGAAUCAAAUUGUCAACAAAAAAAAGUUUCAUGUUAAUGGCACGUUAACUAACUUAAGGAAAAAUCUGCUUCAGUGAAUAGAAAUCUUAUUCUAUUACACAAGAUACAUUGUCAUAAGAGCCAUGUGUAAAUAGCUGUCUUCUGUUAGUAUCGAGUGAAUAGCACCAAGAAAAUAAUUACGCUAGCAAAAAAAUGUAUGUAUUAUACCCCCGAGAAGGUGUUAUUCAAUCCCAGAUGUAAUCAUGAGGCAAACAGAGAAGCAUUUAUAAAAAUCUUUGAAGAACACAUUUCGUCACAAUACAGAAUACAAAAUGUACACAUUAAGACAGUGGCGUAGCGAGGUCAGGUGUCACCCGGUGCGGCACUUAAUGGUGUCACCCCCCAGAGGCGCAACGACCCUUCCCGGGACAAACUUUCAAUUUUCGAUUUACACCCCCCCCCCCCUCAAACUUUCGAUUUGCACCCCCCCCCCUCAAACCUUCGAUUUGCACACCCCCCUCAAACUUUCGAUUUGCACCCCCCACCUCUUAAAAGGUUAUUUAACACUCUAAUUAAUCACUCUAUUAAGUGGAAUUAUCAUUUUUCUCUAUAUAUUUUUGCUAUUUUUUGCCUUGGUGUCACCCCCUUAAAUGGUGUCACCCGGUGCGGUCCGCACCCCCCGCACCCCCCUCGCUACGCCCCUGCAUUAAGACACAGAACAAAAUAAAGCGAUACACAACUAUAAUACACUAUAAUACAGCAACCAUUUGUUUUUAUUAAGUGCAAAGGGUUAGGUUUAGCCCAUCGGAUGUCACACACACACACACACACACACACGCACACACAAACAUAUCCAAAACCUAAAUCUAAAGCAAUAAACAUAACUCACGCCUGUUCCUAACUAAAAAAAAAACGGUUGUACAUAAAAUAGUUUUUAAAAAAAUGGUUGAAGAAAAUAAAAAUUGAAGUUUUUUUU